GCAUUGCCCCGAAAAUGUGCUGAGGAGUUGAGUUGUUGCUGGCCUUUUCUACCUUAAUUUGGCAGGAGGGGCAUGUGCACACAUUACAUUCAUCCAUCACACCCCCUGUGCACUUGUGAGACAGCAAUAGUUGGUGGAUUUAAUUCCAUCAUCCAUUUGCUGUCUACUUAAUUUACACACACUCUACUUAAUUUAAACUGAAUGUAAUUGAUGUAACGCAUCUAAUACUAAGUUUCAACAACGGAUCUCUUGGCUCUCGCAUCGAUGAAGAACGCAGCGAAAUGCGAUAAGUAAUGUGAAUUGCAGAAUUCAGUGAAUCAUCGAAUCUUUGAACGCACCUUGCGCUCCUUGGUAUUCCUUGGAGCAUGCCUGUUUGAGUAUCAUGAAAUCUUCAAAGUAAACCUUUUGUUAAUUCAAUUGGUCUUUUUUACUUUGGUUUUGGAGGAUCUUAUUGCAGCUUCACACCUGCUCCUCUUUGUGCAUUAGCUGGAUCUCAGUGUUAUGCUUGGUUCCACUCGGCGUGAUAAGUUAUCUAUCGCUGAGGACACCCGUAAAAAAGGUGGCCAAGGUAAAUGCAGAUGAACCGCUUCUAAUAGUCCAUUGACUUGGACAAUAUUCUAUUUUAUGAUCUGAUCUCAAAUCAGGUAGGACUACCCGCUGAACUUAACCAUAUCAAUAAACGGAGGAAGGAUAAUUAUUGAAUUUUAUUAAUGAGGAGUUGAGUUGUUGCUGGCUUUUUCUACCUAAAUUGGCAGGAGGG
rnacentral:rRNA from 1 species